rnacentral:rRNA from 1 species
AAUGAACGCUGGCGGCGUGCUUAACACAUGCAAGUCGCACGAGAACUCUUCUGCUUGCAGAAGAUAGUAAAGUGGCGCACGGGUGAGUAACGCGUGGGUAAUCUACCUCCGAAUUGGGGAUAACCCCGCGAAAGCGGGGCUAAUACCGGAUAAUAUCUUUUAUGUUUCGGCAUUUAAGAUCAAAGGUGGUCUCUACAUGUAAGCUACUGUUUGGAGAUGAGCCCGCGUGCCAUUAGCUUGUUGGUAGGGUAAUGGCCUACCAAGGCUACGAUGGCUAGCUGGUCUGAGAGGAUGAUCAGCCACACUGGAACUGACACACGGUCCAGACUCCUACGGGAGGCAGCAGUGAGGAAUUUUGCGCAAUGGGGGAAACCCUGACGCAGCAACGCCGCGUGAGUGAUGAAGGCUUUCGGGUCGUAAAGCUCUGUCAAGUGGGAAGAACAUGCUCGAUGUUAAUACCAUCGUGCACUGACGGUACCACUGAAGAAGCACCGCUAACU